UAUUAAACAUUCGUGGUGUAAGUAUUUAGUUUUUUAUGUGUACAAUCAGACGUGUCGAUUGUUUGUUUAAUUGACGCAGUCUAACAAGUCAAUACGCUAACGACGCAAAACAGCUGGCACAUGCGCGAAAAUACACAGAAAUUCCAGCACAAAGCAAACGAGGAAAUCAACCACCAGCAACGUCGACGACGACGAUUUUCCACAGAGAAGGUGUCUUUUGGAGCAUCGCUCUAGGAGCUCUAACAUUGCUGCAUGUGAGA